GACGAACGCUGGCGGCGUGCCUAAUACAUGCAAGUCGAGCGGACCAAAGGGAGCUUGCUCCUGGAGGUUAGCGGCGAACGGGUGAGUAACACGUGGGCAACCUGCCUGUAAGACUGGGAUAACAUCGAGAAAUCGGUGCUAAUACCGGAUAAUAAAAAGAACUGCAUGGUCUUUUUGAAAGAUGGUUUCGGCUAUCACUUACAGAUGGGCCCGCGGCGCAUUAGCUAGUUGGUGAGGUAACGGCUCACCAAGGCAACGAUGCGUAGCCGACCUGAGAGGGUGAUCGGCCACACUGGGACUGAGACACGGCCCAGACUCCUACGGGAGGCAGCAGUAGGGAAUCUUCCGCAAUGGACGAAAGUCUGACGGAGCAACGCCGCGUGAGUGAUGAAGGUUUUCGGAUCGUAAAACUCUAGUUGUUAGGGAAGAACAAGUGCCGUUCGAAAGGGCGGCACCUUGACGGUACCUAACGAGAAAGCCACGGCUAACUACGUGCCAGCAGCCGCGGUAAA
rnacentral:rRNA from 1 species